GUGAACCAGCGGAGGGAUCAUUACUGAGUUACCGCUCUACAACCCUUUGUGAACAUACCUAACCGUUGCUUCGGCGGGCAGGGGAAGCCUCUCGCGGGCCUCCCCUCCCGGCGCCGGCCCCACCACGGGGACGGGGCGCCCGCCGGAGGAAACCAAACUCUAUUUACACGACGUCUCUUCUGAGUGGCACAAGCAAAUAAUUAAAACUUUUAACAACGGAUCUCUUGGUUCUGGCAUCGAUGAAGAACGCAGCGAAAUGCGAUAAGUAAUGUGAAUUGCAGAAUUCAGUGAAUCAUCGAAUCUUUGAACGCACAUUGCGCUCGCCAGCAUUCUGGCGAGCAUGCCUGUUCGAGCGUCAUUUCAACCCUCAAGCACCGCUUGGUUUUGGGGCCCCACGGCAGACGUGGGCCCUUAAAGGUAGUGGCGGACCCUCCCGGAGCCUCCUUUGCGUAGUAACUAACGUCUCGCACUGGGAUCCGGAGGGACUCUUGCCGUAAAACCCCCAAAUUCUUUACAGGUUGACCUCGGAUCAGGUAGGAAUACCCGCUGAACUUAAGCAUAUCAAUAAGGCGGAGGAA
rnacentral:rRNA from 1 species